UGGGGAAUUUCCGCAAUGGGUGAAAGCCUGACGGAGCAAUACCGCGUGAGGGAUGAAGGAUUUUUGGUCUGUAAACCUCUUUUCUCAAGAAGGAAGUUCUGACGGUACUUGAGGAAUAAGCAUCGGCUAACUCCGUGCCAGCAGCCGCGGUAAUACGGGGGAUGCAAGCGUUAUCCGGAAUCAUUGGGCGUAAAGCGCCUGUAGGUUGUUUAAUAGGUCUGUUGUUAAAGACUGGGGCUUAACCCCAGGAAAGCAAUGGAAACUACUAGACUAGAGUAUGGUAGGGGUAAAGGGAAUUUCUAGUGUAGCGGUGAAAUGCGUAGAUAUUAGAAAGAACACCGGUGGCGAAAGCGCUUUACUGGACCAUUACUGACACUCAGAGGCGAAAGCUAGGGUAGCCAAAGGGAUUAGAUACCCCUGUAGUCA
rnacentral:rRNA from 1 species